rnacentral:rRNA from 1 species
AGAGUUUGAUCAUGGCUCAGAUUGAACGCUGGCGGAAUGCUUUACACAUGCAAGUCGAACGGGCUUAAGGGGCUUGCUCCUUAAGUUAGUGGCGAACGGGUGAGUAAUAUAUCGGAACGUAUCCAAUAGUGGGGGAUAACGAGUCGAAAGAUUCGCUAAUACCGCAUACGCCCUGAGGGGGAAAGUGGGGGACCGCAAGGCCUCACGCUAAUGGAGCGGCCGAUAUCUGAUUAGCUAGUUGGUGAGGUAAAGGCUCACCAAGGCGACGAUCAGUAGCUGGUCUGAGAGGACGACCAGCCACACUGGAACUGAGACACGGUCCAGACUCCUACGGGAGGCAGCAGUGGGGAAUUUUGGACAAUGGGCGAAAGCCUGAUCCAGCCAUUCCGCGUGAGUGAAGAAGGCCUUCGGGUUGUAAAGCUCUUUCGCAAGGGAAGAAAGAUUACUUUUUAAUAAAGAGUGAUUAUGACGGUACCUUGAUAAGAAGCACCGGCUAACUACGUGCCAGCAGCCGCGGUAAUACGUAGGGUGCGAGCGUUAAUCGGAAUUACUGGGCGUAAAGCGAGCGCAGGCGGUUCUGCAAGUCAGAUGUGAAAUCCCCGGGCUCAACCUGGGAACUGCGUUUGAAACUACAGAGCUAGAGUAUAGGAGAGGGAGGUAGAAUUCCACGUGUAGCAGUGAAAUGCGUAGAGAUGUGGAG